AUUUACUGAGGGGUAUGGACAGGCAUAAAAACUAACCUUUUCGAUGCAAUCGGGUGAUGCCAAAAAAGAGUAGAUUGAUGUGUGUUACCUGAUACAGUGUCUUCUCACAAGACUUACAUUUUUUCUACCUCACUGCGAGUGCCAUGUUUCGUCCACCAAAUUGGGAUCUGCGAGGUGCGCGCUCCAAUUGAUCAGCCCGGGAAUUUGUGGAGCAGUGCGGCACCUCAGAUCUGCGAGCUCGAAUGGAGGAUCAUCCCGUCGCGUGGCAGCGAUUGUAGAUGUAGAUGUUGUCAGGCUUCACGUCCAGGUGACUAAGGCUGUGCCGACUGAAUGUGCUUCAAAGCAUUUAAGAGCUUAAAUCGCCUCGUCCCAUUUCCUGGCAGUGGAGUAAGAAUGAAGAUCAUACAAAUUCUACACACCACAAAUACCUUGCUUUGAUGGAACUCCUCACAAAUAAUAACUUGCGAUGGGGUUCUCAGGAGCAAAGACACCAGCGUUGACACAGUGCCUCCGAUUUGGAUCGCAAAUCGGCAGCAGUGGCAGGGG
rnacentral:lncRNA from 1 species